GAUGAAGAACGCAGCGAAAUGCGAUAAGUAGUGUGAAUUGCAGAAUUCAGUGAAUCAUCGAAUCUUUGAACGCACAUUGCGCCCCUCGGUAUUCCGUGGGGCAUGCCUGUUCGAGCGUCAUUUAACCCCUCAAGCCUAGCUUGGUAUUGGGUGCUUGUCCCGCCUCUCGCGCGGCGACUCACCUCAAAGUCAUUGGCAGCCCGCAUCUCGCCGGCCGUGAGCGCAGCACAGACGCGCUCUUGGCAACGACGGAUCGGCUCUCCAAAAGCUUAUUUCACCCACUGACCUCGGAUCAGGUAGGGAUACCCGCUGAACUUAAGCAUAUCAAUAAGCGGAGGA
rnacentral:misc_RNA from 1 species